GACUGCCGGUGACAAACCGGAGGAAGGUGGGGAUGACGUCAAGUCAUCAUGCCCCUUACAUCCUGGGCUACACACGUACUACAAUGCAACGGACAAAGGGCAGCCAACUAGCGAUAGUGAGCUAAUCCCAUAAACCGUUGCUCAGUUCAGAUUGCAGGCUGCAACUCGCCUGCAUGAAGGCGGAAUCGCUAGUAAUCGCAGGUCAGCAUACUGCGGUGAAUACGUUCCCGGGCCUUGUACACACCGCCCGUCACACCAUGGAAGUUGGCCACGCCCGAAGUCGUUACCCCAACCGUUUACGGAGGGGGACGCCGAAGGCAGGGCUGAUGACUGGGGUGAAGUCGUAACAAGGUAACC
rnacentral:rRNA from 1 species